AUGUUGUCAAGUUGAGUGCUAUGA
rnacentral:siRNA from 1 species